rnacentral:rRNA from 1 species
UCCUACGGGAGGCAGCAGUAGGGAAUCUUCCGCAAUGGACGAAAGUCUGACGGAGCAACGCCGCGUGAGUGAUGAAGGUCUUCGGAUCGUAAAACUCUGUUGUUAGGGAAGAACAAGUAUCGUUCGAAUAGGGCGGUACCUUGACGGUACCUAACCAGAAAGCCACGGCUAACUACGUGCCAGCAGCCGCGGUAAUACGUAGGUGGCAAGCGUUAUCCGGAAUUAUUGGGCGUAAAGCGCGCGCAGGCGGUUUCUUAAGUCCGAUGUGAAAGCCCACGGCUCAACCGUGGAGGGUCAUUGGAAACUGGGGAGCUUGAGUGCAGAAGAGGAGAGUGGAAUUCCAUGUGUAGCGGUGAAAUGCGUAGAGAUAUGGAGGAACACCAGUGGCGAAGGCGACUCUCUGGUCUGCAACUGACGCUGAGGCGCGAAAGCGUGGGGAGCGAACAGGAUUAGAUACCCUGGUAGUCCACGCUGUAAACGAUGAGUGCUAGGUGUCGGGGGGUCCAACCCUCGGUGCUGUCGCUAACGCACUAAGCACUCCGCCUGGGGAGUACGGUCGCAAGACUGAAACUCAAAGGAAUUGACGGA